rnacentral:misc_RNA from 1 species
GCUUGUCAGAUUUAUUGUCUCGAUGCUAUUAAUAUGUUUUCUUAAGACAAAUUGUUUAUAGUAUUUUGAUAAAAAAAGUCAAUUGGGUAACACCAAUUGAAUCCAUCUAGCAAUAUGUUACACAUGUUACGACAUAAAAUCCCGACUCAAAAAUUUACAUCACAGGCUUGCCAGUGAUAUUUUUCUAGUACGUCAAACAAAACAUUUAAAAUAUGUCUUUAGAUUUUAAAUCUUUAAGCAUAAACGGUGAAUACCUCGACUCCUAAAUCGAUGAAGACCGUAGCAAACUGCGAUAAUUCACUUGAAUUGCAGCCUACUGGGAUAGUUGAAAAUGUUGAACGCACAUGAUGACAUCGGUCCUUUCGGAUUAGGUGUUAUACUUGGGUGAGAGUGGUCCUGAUAGAAUCCCUUUUGGGUGUGUCUAUUGAACUUGAUUAGAUGGUGGUAAAAAGUGCGCGAGUGCAUAGCAGCUUCGUCCUAAUAAACUAUGCGAGGACCGCCCGAAAUGAGCCAAAUGUUAAUCAAGGGAGAUAGAUAACGCCUGAUUGGACGUAUGCCUAGGGUAUCUUUCCGUCUGUUGCCCCGCAAGGGGGGGCUUACUGGGUGACUUAGGCUACUAUGUUGUAAUUCUCUCGAUUUGUCACUGUCAUUCGGCUAGCAUUUAGAGGUUAACGUAAUCAAUAUACAUUGGUCACAAAAAACUUUUUAAUGGUGGAAGGUAAAUUUAAUGUCACUAAUAAUCGGUCCGUCAAAUUGGUUAGUUAGAGGGCAUUAAGCGUGCUGAAAGCUAUUAGAAAGGAUCAAUUGUGUUGAUUCGACCUAUCUCUAAUAUGUUAGUCGGGUAUGUCCGGCAGUUUAGCGGCAGGGGGAACGGUGUACGCGCUGGG